GCGCUUGGCUUGGCAGCACAUAGGCUAGAAUUGGAAGGAUACAGAGAUUAGCGCGUGCCCUGAGCAAGGUGACACACAGAUCCGUGAAGUGUUCCAUAUUUAA